rnacentral:rRNA from 1 species
AUUGAACGCUGGCGGCAGGCUUAACACAUGCAAGUCGAACGAUGAUUAUCUAGCUUGCUAGAUAUGAUUAGUGGCGGACGGGUGAGUAACAUUUAGGAAUCUGCCUAGUAGUGGGGGAUAGCUCGGGGAAACUCGAAUUAAUACCGCAUACGACCUACGGGUGAAAGGGGGCGCAAGCUCUUGCUAUUAGAUGAGCCUAAAUCAGAUUAGCUAGUUGGUGGGGUAAAGGCCCACCAAGGCGACGAUCUGUAACUGGUCUGAGAGGAUGAUCAGUCACACCGGAACUGAGACACGGUCCGGACUCCUACGGGAGGCAGCAGUGGGGAAUAUUGGACAAUGGGGGCAACCCUGAUCCAGCCAUGCCGCGUGUGUGAAGAAGGCCUUUUGGUUGUAAAGCACUUUAAGCAGGGAGGAGAGGCUAAUGGUUAAUACCCAUUAGAUUAGACGUUACCUGCAGAAUAAGCACCGGCUAACUCUGUGCCAGCAGCCGCGGUAAUACAGAGGGUGCGAGCGUUAAUCGGAAUUACUGGGCGUAAAGCGAGUGUAGGUGGCUCAUUAAGUCACAUGUGAAAUCCCCGGGCUUAACCUGGGAACUGCAUGUGAUACUGGUGGUGCUAGAAUAUGUGAGAGGGAAGUAGAAUUCCAGGUGUAGCGGUGAAAUGCGUAGAGAUCUGGAGGAAUACCGAUGGCGAAGGCAGCUUCCUGGCAUAAUAUUGACACUGAGAUUCGAAAGCGUGGGUAGCAAACAGGAUUAGAUACCCUGGUAGUCCACGCCGUAAACGAUGUCUACUAGCCGUUGGGGUCCUUGAGACUUUAGUGGCGCAGUUAACGCGAUAAGUAGACCGCCUGGGGAGUACGGCCGCAAGGUUAAAACUCAAAUGAAUUGACGGGGGCCCGCACAAGCGGUGGAGCAUGUGGUUUAAUUCGAUGCAGCGCGAAGAACCUUACCUGGUCUUGACAUAGUGAGAAUCCUGCAGAGAUGCGGGAGUGCCUUCGGGAAUUCACAUACAGGUGCUGCAUGGCUGUCGUCAGCUCGUGUCGUGAGAUGUUGGGUUAAGUCCCGCAACGAGCGCAACCCUUUUCCUUAUUUGCCAGCGGGUUAAGCCGGGAACUUUAAGGAUACUGCCAGUGACAAACUGGAGGAAGGCGGGGACGACGUCAAGUCAUCAUGGCCCUUACGACCAGGGCUACACACGUGCUACAAUGGUAGGUACAGAGGGUUGCUACACAGCGAUGUGAUGCUAAUCUCAAAAAGCCUAUCGUAGUCCGGAUUGGAGUCUGCAACUCGACUCCAUGAAGUCGGAAUCGCUAGUAAUCGCAGAUCAGAAUGCUGCGGUGAAUACGUUCCCGGGCCU